UUGAACGCUGGCGGCAUGCUUUACACAUGCAAGUCGAACGGUAGAGUAGCAAUACUCGAGAGUGGCGAACGGGUGAGUAAUAUAUCGGAACGUGCCCAGUCGUGGGGGAUAACGUAGAGAAAUUUACGCUAAUACCGCAUACGAUCUAAGGAUGAAAGCAGGGGACCGCAAGGCCUUGCGCGGACGGAGCGGCCGAUGGCAGAUUAGGUAGUUGGUGGGAUAAAAGCUUACCAAGCCGACGAUCUGUAGCUGGUCUGAGAGGACGACCAGCCACACUGGGACUGAGACACGGCCCAGACUCCUACGGGAGGCAGCAGUGGGGAAUUUUGGACAAUGGGGGAAACCCUGAUCCAGCCAUGCCGCGUGCAGGAUGAAGGCCUUCGGGUUGUAAACUGCUUUUGUACGGAACGAAAAGAUCUCUUCUAAUAAAGGGGGUUCAUGACGGUACCGUAAGAAUAAGCACCGGCUAACUACGU
rnacentral:rRNA from 1 species